AUAUUCAGUUCAGUUAUAGCAGGAGAGGUUGCAAGAUGAAACUGUUAACUUUGAUUUUAAACUUUCUGAUGGUUGUGCUCACAAUUGUGUGUGGCAUGACAACGAUGCCGAGGGGUGCAGGCCUGCAGCAGGGCCAGCAGGCCGCCGGCUGUCAUGGCGGACCCGGCGGCGCCGGUGGCGGACCUCCUCCACCCCCGCCUACUAAUAGUACUGGUUAGAUGACGUCACAACUUGAUACCAGCAUCAACUUCCCAAACGGACUCCGAGUACAAAAUAAAAU